rnacentral:sRNA from 1 species
AGUGUAGUGCUCUUUUUUUUGGUGUGAUCACAAAAUAAAUCCAUCUGAAAUUUAUUCAUCUUGCACCAACAACAACGAAACGAAUCAGAAGUCAGAGGUAAACAAAAUAUGAAUAAAAAUGAUGAUGAUGGGCUGGAUGUAUCUAUGAAUUCGAAGGAUUGGCGUUGGCUUAAUUACAAUCUAUUUUGGCACGUUUCAUUUUCCAUUUUUGUAUUUGCACUUUAUCACCAUAGAGACUAUAAUUUCACAGCGGUAAACUAUGAUCUCUUACAUUUAUUUUAACUAAUUUAAUUGAAAAAAAUUAAAAUUCUAUCUACCAUA